GCUUACGGCCAUACCACCUGAACACGCCCGAUCUCGUCGAAGCUAAGCAGGGUCGGGCCUGGUUAGUACUUGGAUGGGAGACCGCCUGGGAAUACCAGGUGCUGUAAGCU
rnacentral:rRNA from 1 species